GGUCUGUCAAGUCGGAUGUGAAAUCCCCGGGCUCAACCUGGGAACUGCAUUCGAAACUGGCAGGCUUGAGUCUUGUAGAGGGGGGUAGAAUUCCAGGUGUAGCGGUGAAAUGCGUAGAGAUCUGGAGGAAUACCGGUGGCGAAGGCGGCCCCCUGGACAAAGACUGACGCUCAGGUGCGAAAGCGUGGGGAGCAAACAGGAUUAGAUACCCUGGUAGUCCACGCCGUAAACGAUGUCUACUUGGAGGUUGUGCCCUUGAGGCGUGGCUUCCGGAGCUAACGCGUUAAGUAGACCGCCUGGGGAGUACGGCCGCAAGGUUAAAACUCAAAUGAAUUGACGGGGGCCCGCACAAGCGGUGGAGCAUGUGGUUUAAUUCGAUGCAACGCGAAGAACCUUACCUGGUCUUGACAUCCACAGAAUUCUGCAGAGAUGCGGAAGUGCCUUCGGGAACUGUGAGACAGGUGCUGCAUGGCUGUCGUCAGCUCGUGUUGUGAAAUGUUGGGUUAAGUCCCGCAACGAGCGCAACCCUUAUCCUUUGUUGCC
rnacentral:rRNA from 1 species